AUACGUAGGGGGCAAGCGUUGUCCGGAAUUAUUGGGCGUAAAGGGCGCGCAGGCGGCCGAUUAAGUCGGGUGUGUAAGGCCACGGCUCAACCGUGGAGUUGCACCCGAAACUGGUCGGCUUGAGUUCAGGAGAGGAGAGUGGAAUUCCCGGUGUAGCGGUGGAAUGCGUAGAGAUCGGGAGGAACACCAGUGGCGAAGGCGGCUCUCUGGCCUGACACUGACGCUGAGGCGCGAAAGCGUGGGUAGCGAACAGGAUUAGAUACCCUGGUAGUCCACGCCGUAAACGAUGAGUGCUAGGUGUUGGGGGCUUCCACGCCCUCUGUGCCGAAGGAAACCCAAUAAGCACUCCGCCUGGGGAGUACGGCCGCAAGGCUGAA
rnacentral:rRNA from 1 species